ACGCAUUGCUGGGUAGCUAAAUGCGGAAGAGAUAAGUGCUGAAAGCAUCUAAGCACGAAACUUGCCAAGAGAUGAGUCAUCCCUGACUUUAAGUCAGUAAGGGUUGUUGUAGACUACGACGUAGAUAGGUCUGGUGUGUAAGUGUAGUGAUACAUUGAGCUAACAGAUACUAAUUGCCCGAGAGGCUUAACUAUACAACGCUCAAG
rnacentral:rRNA from 1 species